rnacentral:rRNA from 1 species
CGGCGGAUGCCUUGGCACCAGGAGACGAUGAAGGACGCGGAAACCUGCGAAAAUCCACGGGGAGCUGGACUCGAGCUUUGAUCCGUGGGUGUCCGAAUGGGGCAACCCGGUGGGCGUCAUGGCCCAUCAUCGUACGCUGAAUACAUAGGCGUGCGAAGUCAACGCGGGGAACUGAAACAUCUAAGUACCCGUAGGAAAGGAAAUCAACUGAGACUCCGUGAGUAGUGGCGAGCGAAAGCGGACUAGCCCAAACCGUUGGGGUAACUCAACGGGGUUGUGGGGCUCCGACAUGGGAUCUGGAGGACUAGCAGAACGGCUUGGGAAGGCCGGCCAGAGCGGGUGACAGCCCCGUAUGCGAAAGUCCGAGAGACCCUAGGAGAACCCCGAGUAGGGCGGGGCACGGUGGAACCCUGUCCGAAGCUGGGAGGACCAUCUUCCAAGGCUAAGUACUCCCUGGUGACCGAUAGUGAACGAGUACCGUGAG